UACCAGCACCCCGAGUGGUCGGGACGAUUAUUGGGCCUAAAGCAUCCGUAGCCGGUCAUGCAAGUCCUCCGUUAAAUCCACCUGCUUAACAGAUGGGCUGCGGAGGAUACUACAAGGCUAGGAGGCGGAAGAGGCAAGCGGUACUCAGUGGGUAGGGGUAAAAUCCUCUGAUCCAUUGAAGACCACCAGUGGCGAAGGCGGCUUGCCCAAUACGUGCUCGACGGUGAGGGAUGAAAGCUGGGG
rnacentral:rRNA from 1 species